UGAGGAAUAUUGGACAAUGGGUGAGAGCCUGAUCCAGCCAUCCCGCGUGAAGGACGACUGCCCUAUGGGUUGUAAACUUCUUUUAUACUGGGAUAACCUACCCUCGUGAGGGUAGCUGAAGGUACAGUAUGAAUAAGCACCGGCUAACUCCGUGCCAGCAGCCGCGGUAAUACGGAGGGUGCAAGCGUUAUCCGGAUUUAUUGGGUUUAAAGGGGUCCGUAGGCGGGCUCGUAAGUCAGUGGUGAAAUCUCAUAGCUUAACUAUGAAACUGCCAUUGAUACUGCGGGUCUUGAGUAAAGUAAAGUGGCUGGAAUAAGUAGUGUAGCGGUGAAAUGCAUAGAUAUUACUUAGAACACCAAUUGCGAAGGCAGGUCACUAUGUUUUAAA
rnacentral:rRNA from 1 species